rnacentral:tRNA from 1 species
CGCGGGAUGGAGCAGCAUGCUAGCUCGUCGGGCUCAGCCCUUUAUAAACAACAGGCGAAGGUCGUUGGUUCAAAUCCAGCUCCCGCAACCA